UAAAUGGCUUUUUUAAAAGCCACAAUGUCUAACUUGGUAGUAGAA
rfam:Glossina austeni unplaced genomic scaffold Scaffold55, whole genome shotgun sequence.